rnacentral:rRNA from 1 species
CCUACGGGAGGCAGCAGUGAGGAAUAUUGGUCAAUGGGCGGGAGCCUGAACCAGCCAAGCCGCGUGAGGGAAGAAGGUACAGCGUAUCGUAAACCUCUUUUGUCAGGGAACAAAGGCGGGGACUAGUCCCCGGAUGAGGGUACCUGAAGAAAAAGCAUCGGCUAACUCCGUGCCAGCAGCCGCGGUAAUACGGAGGAUGCGGGCGUUAUCCGGAUUUAUUGGGGUUAAAGGGUGCGCAGGCGGCCUGUUCAUUCAGCGGGAAAAGCCCGGGGCUCAACCCCGGCGAGCCGUUGAAACUGGCGGGCUGGAGUUGGAGAGAAGUACGCGGAAUGCGCGGUGUAGCGGUGAAAUGCUUAGAUAUCGCGCAGAACCCCGAUUGCGAAGGCAGCGUACCGGCUCCACACUGACGCUGAGGCACGAAAGCGUGGGUAUCGAACAGGAUUAGAUACCCCAGUAGUC